rnacentral:pre_miRNA from 1 species
CUAGAGGAGGCAUCCAAAGGGAUCGCAUUGAUCCCAAAUCCAAGCUUCAAUGUUCUUCUAUCUUUCUCACUCAAAAUAUUAAUUUUAUUUGGGAUCAUGCUAUCCCUUUGGAUUUCUCCUUUA